UAGGAUUUAGUGUAUUAUGGUAGCACGGAGAUUUUUGAAUUCUCAGGAUUGGGUUCAAUUCCCAUUAUUCUAG
rnacentral:tRNA from 1 species